rnacentral:rRNA from 1 species
UGGGGAAUUUUGGACAAUGGGGGCAACCCUGAUCCAGCCAUCCCGCGUGUGCGAUGAAGGCCUUCGGGUUGUAAAGCACUUUUGGCAGGGAAGAAACAGCCUGGGAUAAUGCCCCGGGCGACUGACGGUACCUGCAGAAUAAGCACCGGCUAACUACGUGCCAGCAGCCGCGGUAAUACGUAGGGUGCAAGCGUUAAUCGGAAUUACUGGGCGUAAAGCGUGCGCAGGCGGUUCGGAAAGAAAGGUGUGAAAUCCCAGGGCUUAACCUUGGGAACUGCACUUUUUAAACUACCGGAGCUAAGAGUACGUCAGAGGGGGGUAGAAUUCCACGUGUAGCAGUGAAAUGCGUAGAGAUGUGGAGGAAUACCGAUGGCGAAGGCAGCCCCCUGGG